rnacentral:rRNA from 1 species
GACGAACGCUGGCGGCGUGCUUAACACAUGCAAGUCGAACGGAAAGGCCCUGCUUUUGUGGGGUGCUCGAGUGGCGAACGGGUGAGUAACACGUGAGUAACCUGCCCUUGACUUUGGGAUAACUUCAGGAAACUGGGGCUAAUACCGGAUAGGAGCUCCUGCUGCAUGGUGGGGGUUGGAAAGUUUCGGCGGUUGGGGAUGGACUCGCGGCUUAUCAGCUUGUUGGUGGGGUAGUGGCUUACCAAGGCUUUGACGGGUAGCCGGCCUGAGAGGGUGACCGGCCACAUUGGGACUGAGAUGCGGCCCAGACUCCUACGGGAGGCAGCAGUGGGGAAUAUUGCACAAUGGGCGGAAGCCUGAUGCAGCAACGCUGCGUGCGGGAUGACGGCCUUCGGGUUGUAAACCGCUUUCGCCUGUGACGAAGCGUGAGUGACGGUAAUGGGUAAAGAAGCACCGGCUAACUACGUG